CCUACGGGUGGCUGCAGUGGGGGAUAUUGCACAAUGGGGGGAACCCUGAUGCAGCGACGCCGCGUGGGUGAAGAAGCGCCUCGGCGCGUAAAGCCCUGUCAGCAGGGAAGAAAAUGACGGUACCUGAAGAAGAAGCCCCGGCUAACUACGUGCCAACAGCCGCGGUAAUACGUAGGGGGCAAGCGUUCUCCGGAUGUACUGGGUGUAAAGGGGGCGCAGACGGCGAUGCACGCCAGGAGUGAAAGACCGGGGCUCAACCCCGGGACUGCUCGUGGAACUGCGUGGGGGGAGUGCAGGACGGGCAGGAGGAAUUCCUGGUGUAGCGGUGAAAUGCGUAGAUAUCAGGAGGAACACCGGUGGCGAAGGCGGCCUGCUGGACUGCAACUGACGUUGAGGCCCGAUAGCGGGGGGAGCAAACAGGAGUAGAUACCCUAGUAGUC
rnacentral:rRNA from 1 species